AGGGAUGUAGCUCACUGGCAGAGCAUCUGCUUUGUAUGCGGAAGGUCUUGGGUUCAAUCCCUGGCAUCUCCA